UUGACCUCGAAUCAGGUAGGAAUACCCGCUGAACUUAAGCUA
rnacentral:rRNA from 2 species